GAUUAGCCUGCGUCCGAUUAGCUCGUUGGUGGGGUAACGGCUCACCAAGGCGACGAUCGGUAGGUGGUCUGAGAGGACGAUCACCCAGACUGGGACUGAGACACGGCCCAGACUCCUACGGGAGGCAGCAGUCGGGAAUUUUGCUCAAUGGGCGAAAGCCUGAAGCAGCAACGCCGCGUGAGGGAUGAAGGCCUUCGGGUUGUAAACUUCUUUUCUCAGGGACGAUGAUGACGGUACCUGAGGAAUAAGCCACGGCUAACUACGUGCCAGCAGCCGCGGUAAUACGUAGGUGGCGAGCGUUGUCCGGAUUUACUGGGCGUAAAGAGCGCGCAGGCGGUCGUGCAAGUCGAGUGUGAAAGCCCCCGGCUCAACUGGGGAGGGUCACUCGAUACUGCUCGACUCGAAGGCGGGAGAGGGAAGUGGAAUUCCCGGUGUAGUGGUGAAAUGCGUAGAUAUCGGGAGGAACACCAGUGGCGAAGGCGACUUCCUGGCCCGUUCUUGACGCUGAGGCGCGAAAGCUAGGGGAGCAAACGGGAUUAGAUACCCCGGUAGUCCUAGCUGUAAACGAUGUCAACUAGCUGUUGG
rnacentral:rRNA from 1 species